rnacentral:lncRNA from 1 species
CCUCCUCCGCCCCCUCCACGAAGGGGCCGCGCCGGGCGCCCUCGAACGCCCCUCCCUGCACGCCCGGCGCCGCCUCGCCCUCCUCGCGGCGCAGCAGCGGCAUCAGCGCGGCGAUGUCCCGCGUCAGCAGCUCCUCCAGCGCCUCCAGCAGCCGCGGCUUCAGCGCCGGGAAGCGCGUCAGGUCCUGAGCCAGGAGCUGCUCCUGCAUGCGCGCGCAGUCGGGG